rnacentral:sRNA from 1 species
CCCCCUCAGGUCCCCUCGGGGCGCCCGCCAGCGGUCAGCGAGCCGCCCGAACUUUUUUAUCAACAGCAACCGUUCCGUCUGAGCAACAAACAAAAAUAAGCAAAACUUUCAACAACGGAUCUCUUGGCUCUGGCAUCGAUGAAGAACGCAGCGAAAUGCGAUACGUAAUGCGAAUUGCAGAAUUCAGCGAGUCAUCGAAUCUUUGAACGCACAUUGCGCCCGCCAGCAUUCUGGCGGGCAUGCCUGUCCGAGCGUCAUUUCCCCCCUCAGCGCACUCUCGCGCUGGCGUUGGGGCUCCUCCGCCCCCCGGGCGGCAGGGCCCUCAAAACCAGUGGCGGGCCCAGCUGGUGGCUCCGAGCGCAGUACCGAACGCAUGUUCUCCUCUCGCUCUGCAGCUCCGGCCGGCGCCCAGCCGUCAAGCCGCGCGGGCGGCCAGCGUCUUUUCGCUGGACGCCCCGCACUUUGUACCAAGGUGACCUCGGAUCAGGUAG